AGCACGGAACAAGACACUCGUCUCUCACCCCCGACUUGUCUUCGAGUCGAACUCAGCUGUUUCUCUUCUCCUCUUCGCGUUCUCCUCCCGCUUUCUCCUUCUCUCGUUCUCCUCCAUUUCUCCCCCUUCUCUCUUUUUACUCUCCUUCUGGCCCACUUCUCUAAGCUCAUUUGCUCUCUCUGUUGGUCCCUUCGUCCAUUCCAUCAACCGACGGUUUUGCUUCCUCCAUUCCAUCUCGUGCGAUCACCUUCACUGGUGCAAGGAGCUCCAUUGCCAUGAAUAACUUUUUUCAGGUGAGGUAUGGUUUUCAUUUUUCUCUCUUUCUCUUGUUUUCUCUCUCGCUCCUUCCCUCUAUUUGUCCCUGAUUUGCAGUAACUAGGGUUCUUGCUCCUUUACGUCGAUUUGGGGUCCUUUUCUCUUUCUUUCUCUCGUUGUCUCUCUCCCUUCCUUCCUGCAUCUAUCCAUGCCAUUGAAAUUGUGAAAUUUUUAUGGCAUCCUUGAAACGCCAUUGAAAAACAUAUUUGUGUGCUUAUAUUUUUUUUCCCUUCGCGCUCUUUCUUACGAGCCUACAAGGCCAAGCAAUUUUUAAGGGCAUCCUCUCUGUACUGUUACCAAAAAUAUGACUAGCAGAGCAAUGUUCUUGUUAGGUUUUUCUGUCUGAUGUUACUUUGUAAAUUCAUUAGCCGCAGAUGAAGUGUUUGCUGAAAUUCUUAAAUGACUUACAUUUGUAUUUUAGUUCAUCCGGUCCACAUUUGACAGUUGUCAACAAAUUUGGUAUGUUCCUUCUCAAUCAUUUUGCCACCUCCUGUUUGCGACAAAAAAAAAAUUGGAACAUGUUAUCUAACCAAAACCAUAGCUUGAGAAGCUAGAGAGUAAAUGCACACAGGAUCUUCAACAGAGCAGAAAUACACUUGAAGCUUUUUGCAGCUCAUGCGGACCUUCAAUCUUCCAAAAGAAACAGGGAUCUUCGACAACUACAUGAUGAAAGGAUGAGGAGGGGCACAGUAAAUGUGGGUAGCUGCAGUCGUUUAUUCUCCAAUCCUACGGUGGUUACUCUCUUUCCUAAAGAAAGUAGAUACCUAUGAACAGAUCUUGGUGGAGCACCCUUUUUCUAUAAAUUUUAUCAAUUAUUAUAUGAUUCAGCUUUGGUUCCCAAGCAUACGAACCUUUAUUUAUGCUUUAAGCAAGUUGUGCUUCUCACUAUUUUUCAUUUUCACUCGGAAAGAAACCCUUAAACCUUGCUAUUGUGAUAUAUAUAUUCUAAUUUGUUGGUUGCUGGAUGUUGUUAUAUGGUAAAGGAUUAAAACUCUGUUACUGAAAUGCACUGAUGAUUUAUAUUCUUUUAGCAACAGUUUUUGAUACUUUUAAUGCCAAUUUUUUUUUGCUUUUAAUAUAUUUCAAUCUUCCUAUAUGUGGAAAUUAAGACUACAUCCUGCUCUCUUGAUGUUCUUUUAUGAGUGCAGACUUCUCUUGUAGCCAUUGAUACGCUUAUGUAGGCUUUGUUUCAAGUUUGAAUUCCCAUGUUGAUAGGCCAUUUGUCGUUGCUCGAUCAUAGAGCAUCGAGUUGAUAUGUGUUUAAUAAUUAUUUUGUGCUGCAGAAAAAAAAACUUGAUUGUGGCUUUGCACUUGUUGUAGUUAGUGAACCAUGGAAUUCCAGUGGAGCUUCUGCAAAAAGUGAAAGGGGUGUGAAAGGGGUGUGUCCAAAGAGUGUUGACAAAUGUCAAUUGUUUUUCCUUUUUUAUUUUUCUUUCUUUCACUUGUAUUACAGUUAGAAACAGAGCAGAUGCAGCGAGCAACAUGAAUUUAUAAAUGUUAUCGACAAAUACUAUUCAAAGCCUGUAAAGAUUGAAGGCAGAGUCGCUGCCGCUCUUGACAGAAGCUGACCAUAUAAUGGUUCCUUCCAAAUCGAAAUGGAUGGACGGUAGAGGUGUGAGCACCCAUGGCUGCCUGGCCUGGUCGUCUAGUGCCGAACUUUUAGCUCUUUGUAGUGUGAAUAUUGAGGAAAUUUCAUAGGCUGGAUAAAUAAGGGCAGUGUGUUGCUUGUUUCGUUCCGUAAAAAAUGAAUAGUGCGAUCUUUGUGGCAUGUUUUCUUUUCUUUCCACUUGUUAGUUUGUAUGUAAUAAGAUCCAAAGUUGAAGAACAUGGUAAAGUUGGCUCUA